rnacentral:rRNA from 1 species
CACACUAUCAUUAACUGAAUCCAUAGGUUAAUGAGGCGAACCGGGGGAACUGAAACAUCUAAGUACCCCGAGGAAAAGAAAUCAACCGAGAUUCCCCCAGUAGCGGCGAGCGAACGGGGAGCAGCCCAGAGCCUGAAUCAGUGUGUGUGUUAGUGGAAGCGUCUGGAAAGGCGCGCGAUACAGGGUGACAGCCCCGUACACAAAAAUGCACAUGCUGUGAGCUCGAUGAGUAGGGCGGGACACGUGGUAUCCUGUCUGAAUAUGGGGGGACCAUCCUCCAAGGCUAAAUACUCCUGACUGACCGAUAGUGAACCAGUACCGUGAGGGAAAGGCGAAAAGAACCCCGGCGAGGGGAGUGAAAAAGAACCUGAAACCGUGUACGUACAAGCAGUGGGAGCACGCUUAGGCGUGUGACUGCGUACCUUUUGUAUAAUGGGUCAGCGACUUAUAUUCUGUAGCAAGGUUAACCGAAUAGGGGAGCCGAAGGGAAACCGAGUCUUAACUGGGCGUUAAGUUGCAGGGUAUAGACCCGAAACCCGGUGAUCUAGCCAUGGGCAGGUUGAAGGUUGGGUAACACUAACUGGAGGACCGAACCGACUAAUGUUGAAAAAUUAGCGGAUGACUUGUGGCUGGGGGUGAAAGGCCAAUCAAACCGGGAGAUAGCUGGUUCUCCCCGAAAGCUAUUUAGGUAGCGCCUCGUGAAUUCAUCUCCGGGGGUAGAGCACUGUUUCGGCAAGGGGGUCAUCCCGACUUACCAACCCGAUGCAAACUGCGAAUACCGGAGAAUGUUAUCACGGGAGACACACGGCGGGUGCUAACGUCCGUCGUGAAGAGGGAAACAACCCAGACCGCCAGCUAAGGUCCCAAAGUCAUGGUUAAGUGGGAAACGAUGUGGGAAGGCCCAGACAGCCAGGAUGUUGGCUUAGAAGCAGCCAUCAUUUAAAGAAAGCGUAAUAGCUCACUGGUCGAGUCGGCCUGCGCGGAAGAUGUAACGGGGCUAAACCAUGCACCGAAGCUGCGGCAGCGACGCUUAUGCGUUGUUGGGUAGGGGAGCGUUCUGUAAGCCUGCGAAGGUGUGCUGUGAGGCAUGCUGGAGGUAUCAGAAGUGCGAAUGCUGACAUAAGUAACGAUAAAGCGGGUGAAAAGCCCGCUCGCCGGAAGACCAAGGGUUCCUGUCCAACGUUAAUCGGGGCAGGGUGAGUCGACCCCUAAGGCGAGGCCGAAAGGCGUAGUCGAUGGGAAACAGGUUAAUAUUCCUGUACUUGGUGUUACUGCGAAGGGGGGACGGAGAAGGCUAUGUUGGCCGGGCGACGGUUGUCCCGGUUUAAGCGUGUAGGCUGGUUUUCCAGGCAAAUCCGGAAAAUCAAGGCUGAGGCGUGAUGACGAGGCACUACGGUGCUGAAGCAACAAAUGCCCUGCUUCCAGGAAAAGCCUCUAAGCAUCAGGUAACAUCAAAUCGUACCCCAAACCGACACAGGUGGUCAGGUAGAGAAUACCAAGGCGCUUGAGAGAACUCGGGUGAAGGAACUAGGCAAAAUGGUGCCGUAACUUCGGGAGAAGGCACGCUGAUAUGUAGGUGA